CCCACCAACAACACACACACACACCCACCCCAUGCCCCCAGACCCGUGACUGCCCCUGCUGGCUGGGACAGUCCUUGACCAUCCAACCUUUGCCAUCUGCCCUCCACAUGAGCAGGGCUGGUGACUGUCAGUCAGUGUGGCUCAUAUCCUCACUGUUCACAAUUUUCUCCUUACACUUUGAUGUUUUACUGCAGGGGAGUCGCUGCUUUGACAAGCUGUGGAUUUGGGUCACCCGGCCUGGUGAGGACAGCGAGGAGAUGGGGGAUAACUGCCGGUUACCAGCGCUGACCACACUGGGCAGUGCCACCAUGUACAGCCACAAACAUUCAUUACAGCAAAGUGCUGAGAGCACUGUGCCAACGUGAGAUCAACUCUGGCAAAAAGACACUUCACCCUCCCAGCACCACGUGCCCUCGCUCGCACUUCACAUCUUACAGACUCUGUGUUCUUUUCUGUUUUUAGGUGAAUUGGAUUUUAAUUUCUGGCAGAGACUAAUCCUGUAGGAUUUUAUAUGGUUUUUAAUGAGGAGGUGGGGUGGGAGGGUAGGGAAGAGAUUCGAGGUUCAAGGCCCAAAGCCACCUCUUGUAGUUUGAUACAGUGCUGCAGAUCUCCUCCUGCCUGACCGGCGCAGUGUCGGGGUGUGUGUGGAACUGCAGUUCGAUCCUAGCGCUUCAUAGUGGUGGCAGAUCGUGUGUCUUGGGGUGUAGUUCAUAAACCAGCGUGAGUAAAUCAUUGCAUGGAAAGGGGAUAGUGCCUGCUGGCCCCCUCCUGUGGGCUUGGGCAGGGGAGAGGGUGGGAGGGCAGGGAGGUUAGCAGAUGGGUGGGGGUUCCGGCUGCAUGAGCCUUGGUAAUGAAGCCACAAAGUCCCCGGGAGAAAGAGAGAGGAGGGUCUUACCAGCCAAGGAGACGUGGCUGAUGGAGCACACAGUCAGAGGUUUGACUCAAUCAAGGACUUGCCUCUUGCCCCACCCUUUCAGCACUACUGGGGGAAGGAGCAGCGAUGGACAGACUCAUCACAGCCUGCAGCAGUUGGUGGAUGUGGCUGUUGGUAAGAGAUCACAUUUAACACUAAAGCAUGUCAGGGUCCAGGGAAACUGGGAGACACUACAUUCUAGCCUGCUUGGUUCUGCUGGAAUCAGCCAGAGACUGUGUUCAAUAACUAACCAGCUGAGGGCACGGAGUGUCGCUGGGGGAACAUGGUGUUGUGACUUGCUCCAAACCAGUCUGAGAGAAUUGGAAGGUUGGUCAUGCAGAGGGGUGGGUGUUGUGGGCUGUUCACAAAGUGGGAGCUGCAAUGGGUGAUCCAGGGUCCUCUAUCUGUUAUCGUUCCCUCUCAGUGACCAGGUGUGAGGAAGAGCAGACUGCACACACCCCCCCCCCCCCCCCCCCCCCCCCCCCCCCCCCCCCCCCCCCCCCCCCCGCCCCCCCCCCCCCCCCCCCCCAACCACCACCACCCCUUUCUCAUAGAGAAGUGAUGGAUAAUUGUGUGGCAGUCUGGUUAAUACAUCUCCCAUCUCACCGUCAGCUUUCCAGCAAUAGGAUACAAGUUAUAGUUCUGACUGUCCCCAGAACCUUGUCCCAGACCCACACAAGUUUAGAAUGUGCUGCUAAUGGGGUAGAUUUGGUAUAAAUCAUCUUGGGGCUGAUGUGCGGCAAGUUGUUUUCAGUUGAACUGGCUGGGGUUGAGUGAUCAGGCCAGCUUGAUACAGGUUCUCCACUGGUUUGGCAUCGUAAUUAUGAAACUGGAAAGAUUUGUGUAUGGGAAUCAUUGGUGAUCCCUGGACACAGCAGAGAGCCACAGUCACUACAUGGAACAGGAACAGCUUGCUGCUUCCUCUAGGCUCAUCUCAGACUGGAACUAGUGAAUUUGUACAACCAAAGACGUAUAUUUUGUGCUCCAGGGUUCAUUAAAGUUUACUUUUCAUUUUCGAAAUAA